GGAAUGUGUAGAUAUCGGGAAGAACACCAAUGGCGAAGGCAGGUCUCUGGGCCGUUACUGACGCUGAGGAGCGAAAGCGUGGGGAGCGAACAGGAUUAGAUACCCUGGUAGUCCACGCCGUAAACGGUGGAUGCUGGAUGUGGGGCCCGUUCCACGGGUUCCGUGUCGGAGCUAACGCGUUAAGCAUCCCGCCUGGGGAGUACGGCCGCAAGGCUAAAACUCAAAGAAAUUGACGGGGGCCCGCACAAGCGGCGGAGCAUGCGGAUUAAUUCGAUGCAACGCGAAGAACCUUACCUGGGCUUGACAUGUUCCCGACAGCCGUAGAGAUAUGGCCUCCCUUCGGGGCGGGUUCACAGGUGGUGCAUGGUCGUCGUCAGCUCGUGUCGUGAGAUGUUGGGUUAAGUCCCGCAACGAGCGCAACCCUCGCCCUGUGUUGCCAGCACGUCAUGGUGGGAACUCACGGGGGACCGCCGGGGUCAACUCGGAGGAAGGUGGGGAUGACGUCAGAUCAUCAUGCCCCUUACGUCCAGGGCUUCACGCAUGCUACAAUGGCCGGUACAACGGGAUGCGACACGGCGACGUGGAGCGGAUCCCUGAAAACCGGUCUCAGUUCGGAUUGGAGUCUGCAACCCGACUCCAUGAAGGCGGAGUCGCUAGUAAUCGCGGAUCAGCAACGCCGCGGUGAAUGCGUUCCCGGGCCUUGUACACACCGCCCGUCAAGUCAUGAAAGUGGGUAGCACCCGAAGCCGGUGGCCUAACCCUUUGUGGAUGGAGCCGUCUAAGGUGAGACUCGUGAUUGGGACUAAGUCGUAACAAGGUAGCCGUACCGGAAGGUGCGGCUG
rnacentral:rRNA from 1 species